CCUACGGGCGGCAGCAGUGGGGAAUAUUGCACAAUGGGGGAAACCCUGAUGCAGCGACGCCGCGUGAGUGAAGAAGUAAUUCGUUAUGUAAAGCUCUUUCAGCAGGGAAGAAAAUGACGGUACCUGAGUACGAAGCACCGGCUAAAUACGUGCCAGCCGCCGCGGUAAUACGUAGGGGGCAAGCGUUAUCCGGCUUUACUGGGUGUAAAGGGAGCGUAGACGGCAGUGCAAGUCUGGAGUGAAAGGCGGGGGCUCAACCCCCGGACUGCUCUGGAAACUGUACGGCUGGAGUGCAGGAGAGGUAAGUGGAAUGCGUAGUGUAGCGGUGAAAUGCGUAGAUAUUAGGAGGAACACCAGUGGCGAAGGCGGCUUACUGGACUGCAACUGACGUUGAGGCUCGAAAGCGUGGGGAGCGAACAGGAUUAGAUACCCCAGUAGUC
rnacentral:rRNA from 1 species